CAUGCUCCCAUCUUGAUGAUAAUGCACGGAACCUCUGAGCCUGACUCCCACAGAGAUCCCACCUGGUACACCUCAAAGAAGGUAGCUGGCAGAGCCAUUCUUACAGCCAACCCUGACCUGGGUUACCCUCAGAAGCUACUGGCCACUACUGGGGCCACCCCAUGAGGAGGGUUAAGAAGACCACUAGGAGAACAGAGUGAUCCACAAAAUGAUUGGCAGGAGCCAGAACAUCUUCUCGAAUGGCCAGCCUGCUUUUUAUUUAAAGAAUGCAGACAGAAAAUAAAGUACCUGAGCAAUCUAAGUGAUUGCCGUGCAUUAAAAUGGAACAGAAGAUGGCAAAACUUAUUAAAUAUUACUACUGGAAUCUUCAGUGAAAUUGGAGAAGUUUGGGACUGCAGGAUAAGAUCAGCAAUAGAUCAAGAAUGAAACAGAGCUCAGGAAUAAAACAAAUGAAGAAA